UACGAAGGGGGCUAGCGUUGCUCGGAAUUACUGGGCGUAAAGCGCACGUAGGCGGGUCGUUAAGUCAGGGGUGAAAUCCCGGAGCUCAACUCCGGAACUGCCUUUGAUACUGGCGAUCUUGAGAUCGGAAGAGGUGAGUGGAAUUCCCAGUGUAGAGGUGAAAUUCGUAGAUAUUGGGAAGAACACCAGUGGCGAAGGCGGCUCACUGGUCCGAUACUGACGCUGAGGUGCGAAAGCGUGGGGAGCAAACAGG
rnacentral:rRNA from 1 species